CAGAGAACACGACUCCUGUUCACUGAGGUGGCAGCAGCUCUGCUUGGGUGGUGUCAGACAAAGCCAAGAGGAGAACUGCAACUUUGCUUUUGUGAACUUAGGAACAGCAACCACAGUUCUUCCUUCCACACGCAACUCCACCAGCAGUGGAAACCGCUCAGGUUCUGCUCGCAGCAGUGAGGCUGCCCUUCCCUUUCUGCUGGGCUGCUGCUGGAAAGGCAGCAGAAAGGAAGGCUGCAGAGAUUAGCAUUCCUGUUCCCCAAGGCAGGCAACAGGGGGAUCCUUCCACCUCACAAUAAUCUAGGUGGUCCAGCCUGUGUAGUUUGCGAGCCCUUAGAAGGUGCUUCUGUGCGCACUCAUCACCGUGCCUUUCUGACUCCAUCAUCAGCCUUGUUCUAAAGAGCUCUGAGCAGCGAAAGAAGUGGUCUAGCCAUGCCGCCCACCACAGCAACUGCUAGCCACAGGAAAAACAUUAGGGAAAGUUGGCAGAAGUCAUACCAAGAGCCAUGCCACUUAAUACCAAGUGAUGUGCU